UGAAAAGCGGAAGUUUCGAAUUUAAAUUCUUUUUACUAAAAAAAUUUUCACUGAAAGGAAGACUGUCCUUGCUAUGUAAUCCAUAAUACUUAAAUUUCUUACUACAUGGGAUUUUGUUGGUUUUUUUACUAGUGUGAGGUUGUUGAUGUUCUUACUAGUGGGACGGGAGAAGUGAGUUCAAGUCCUCCAACAGUUUUCGCUGAUAAUUUAAAAAAGAAAAAUGUGUUUUUAUAUUAUUAGUCGAUAAGAAUAUCAAUUUUAUUACCAACAAUUACACCAAACGACAAAAAUAUUCUGCUAGAAGAUUCACUGGAAUCCGAGAAAUAGCUGAUAAGCCAGUGGAAUAUAGACUGGGAAGUGUGCGAGUGAAGCAUUAGUGUCUUAGUCUAAUCAUGAAUCGUGCGAUAAUAUUCUCAGCUACGAUUAUUGUCGCCCUCUCCAUUUGCUUGAUUCCUCUCUUCAACUUACCCCAGCAAUGGCUGAAUUUAGAAUCGAGAGGAUUAAUGGCGGAUUUGAUUGUGAAGAAUGGGGUUAUUUUCACCAGCGACGCUUCAUUGCCUUUCGCCGAUUCAAUGGCUGUGCUAAACGGCAGGAUUCUCCGUGUUGGAAACUAUUCAGCUCUUAAGGAUUUGGCGGGUGAUAAGACUAGAGAGUUGGAUCUUGAAGGGAAAGUAGUGGUUCCUGGAUUUAUUGAUUCCCAUGUCCAUUUGAUUUGGGGUGGACUUCAGAUGAAGCGUGUGGAGCUACAUGGUGUAGAUCGAAAAGAUGAGUUUGUGAGAAGGGUCAAAGAAGCUGUAAGAAAUUCUAAAGAAGAUACCUGGUUGUUGGGUGGUGGAUGGAACAAUGAUCUAUGGGGAGGAGAAUUACCAGUGGCCUAUUGGAUUGAUGAUAUUACGCCAUACAAUCCUGUUUGGCUAAUUAGGAUGGAUGGUCAUAUGGGUUUGGCUAAUUCAGUGGCACUGAAGUUAGCUGGGAUACAUAAUUUGUUAGAAGAUCCAAAUGGUGGAACUAUUCUGAGAUCUGCUCAUGGAGAACCUAAUGGGCUGUUAAUUGAUGCGGCAAUGAAACUCAUUCUUCCCUGGAUCCCAGAAGUCUCAGUAGAUGAAAGAAGGGAGGCUUUCCUUGGAGCUACCAAUCUUGCCUUGAGGAGAGGGGUGACAAGUGUUGUUGAUUUUGGAAGGUACCUUCCUGGGGCAUCAGUAGAGCAUUCAUGGGAGGAUCUUUCAGAUGUAUAUCAAUGGGCAGACUCUUUAGGCAAGAUGAGGAUCAGGCUUUGCUUAUUUUUCUCAAUAGAAACACGGUCACGCCUGUUUGAGCUUAUUACAAAAACAGGUCGUGCUUUGAGUGAUUGGAUUUAUUUAGGUGGUGUUAAGGCUUUUGCUGAUGGAUCUUUAGGUUCUAGCAGUGCACUAUUCUAUGAGACCUAUAUUGGUGAGCCUCAAAAUUUUGGCUUACAAGUCACUGAUAUCAAGAGCCUUUUCAACAUGACUCUGGAGUCAGAUAAAGUUGGACUUCAGGUUGCUAUUCAUGCCAUAGGCGACAAAGCAAAUGACAUGAUUCUGGAUAUGUAUGAAUCAGUUGUUUCAACAACCGGAAAAAGGGACAGAAGAUUUCGGGUAAGAUUGAGCAUGCCCAACAUCUGGCACCUGGAGCAGUGUUUCGUUUUGGUGAGCACGGGAUUAUUGCUUCAGUACAGCCAGAUCACCUACUGGAUGAUGCUGAUUCUGCAACAAAAAAGCUGGGUGUGGAUAGGGCUCAAAAGGGAUCUUACAAAUUCCGAUCACUUCUAGCUAGCAACACUCGACUGGCAUUAGGAUCUGACUGGCCAGUUACAAAUAUCAAUCCUUUGGGAAGCAUAAGGACAGCAAUGAAAAGAAUACCUCCUGGUUGGGAAAAUGCAUGGGUUCCAUCUGAGCGGCUUUCACUGAAAGAUGCAAUAAUUGCGCACACUAUUUCAGCUGCCUACGCGUGCUUUCUUGAUGAUGAUCUGGGAUCUCUAUCUUCCGGUAAGUUUGCAGAUUUUGUCAUAUUAUCCACCAAUUCCUGGGAUGACUUUGAAGUGGAAGGAUAUGCAUCAGUUGAAGCAACAUAUGUAGCUGGUUCACAAGCCUAUCCGUGAAAGCACUUGCUAUCAAACAAAUACUAUAGAAUAAGGUUCAAAAGGCAAUAGCCUUCAGUAUGAACAGAAAGUUGGAAAAGUUGUAGUUUAUAUCCAUUGCCAAAAUCUUCAAAACAGAAUGUAAGUUGGUCACAAAUUGCUAGAUGGAUAUGAAUAUACUUUAGCCACUGUGAUGUUUAUAUUUUAACCCUUUUUUUGAAUUAUUAUUAUUAUUAUUGCAUUCAAAA